ensembl:lncRNA
GAAAAACGCGAUCACGUGACCAAUGAGGCCGCGGGCGCGUUCUAAUUCUAGAAUCAGAACCUACGGACACACUUACAUGUAGGGGUGUGAAAGAGCGCGCGGCGAUAGAAAGUGCAGACUAAAGUUUUCAGUGAAGCCGAACGUUGCAGACGUUUUUCCAUAACUCACGUGCAGAAAUAUCUAAGCAUAAAAAGAGAGAGGAGAGAAAAGGGCUCCUGAGGAGAUCCAGGAUGGAAUGGAAUGAGCAGACUGUGCAGACAAGUACAGAGGACAGUGUAGCAAAGGAGAAGGAGGAAUGUAAGACAGCGGGAGACAUGGGAGAACCAAAGGAAGUGGAAGUCAGCUACGAGUUGGUGGAGGAGGAAGUGCAGUCGGGUUCAGAGGGAGAGCAGCAGCAGGUGCAGAGUGUGCAGACAAGUACAGAGGACAGUGUACCAAAGGAGGAAUGUAAGACAGCGGGAGAAAUGGGAGAACCAAAGGAAGUGGAAGUCAGCUACGAGUCGGUGGAGGAGGAAGUGCAGUCGGGUUCAGAGGGAGAGCAGCAGCAGGUGCAGAGUGUGCAGACAAGUACAGAGGACAGUGUACCAAAGGAGAGGGAGGAAUGUGAAUCAGUGGGAGGCAUGGGAGAACCAAAGAAAGUGGAAGUGAGUCGGUGGUGGAGGUGGUGGAGGAAGUCAGUGGGUAGUGGUAGUGGUGGGGGAGGAAGUCAGGCGGUGGUGGAGUCGGUGGUGGAGUCGGUGGUGGAGGAAGUGCAGUCAGGUACAGAGGGAGAGCACCAGCGGACCGAGCCGGAGGACGAGGGGAACGAAUGCACUAAACCGGACAGAGAAAAAGCAGAGAUUGAGGAGAAGCUGCUGGAGAAAGACAGCAUGCUGAAAAAACUGCAAGAGGAAAAGGAAGAGAUGGCCAAAAAGAUAAGAGAGCUUGAGAAGAACAGAGAGAAACUCGAGGAGAUCAUAUGGAAGAAAGAUCAUAGAGCUGCAGCAGAUUUUCAGAAGGAACGGGAGGGGAAAGAUAGCGCUCAUCUGACGCUCUUGGAGGAUUUAAUGAGGAGGGUUAUGAAUCUGGAAAAAGCCAAAGCCCAGAGAAGUGAGGAGAGAGAGAGAGAGAGAACAGACAAUACCGACAAGUCUGUGGUGAAGGAGGGGCAUACGGAAGCCGGGUUUACUAGAAUCAGAGAGCAGCAGGAUAGAGAGGAGGCCGAGCUGGAGAAGGUGAGGAAGAAACGUGUUGAAAUAGAGAGAGAAAAACAAGAGAUGGUGGCCUACUGGAGAGAGCAGCACAGGACGUGGUCUUGGCAUCCGCAAGAGAAAAACGCCACAAUGAAAAGAACGCAAAAGAGAAAGAAAAAGAUAGUCAAGAAGAUACAACUGCUUGAGGAGAUAAGCGAGAGACAACAUCUCAAGCAGAUGGACUUGAUGAAUCUGCUAGAAGAAACGGAGAAAGAGUUUAAGAAGGAGCUGGAGGAGAAAGAAAGAGCUCAACUUGCUGUCACUGAGCAGUUACUGGCCAAGAUAGAGUAUCUGAAUCAAAGCCAGGCUCAGAUAGAAGAGGAGAGAGAGCAGCUCCAGACAGAGCUGCAGCUGAGAGAGAUAGAGGCUAGAGAAGCUGGGAUGGAAAGUCUGCCUGAUGUUAAGAUGGGUGCAGAAAUGCAGACUGAAGAAGUGCAGGAGGACCAAGACAGCCCGAAGAUGCAAGAGGCGGACGACAGGAACGUUGAGCUUCUGCAAUACAUCAGUCAGCUACAGGCUUACAACGCGCACUUUGCAGAACGAGUACAGAUAGCAGAGGUGAGGAGAGAUAUCUUGGAGAAAGAUCAAGAGAGCUGGAAGAGAGAGAGAGAGAACUGGAAGAAAGAGAGAGCAUGCUGGGAGGAAGCAUCAGAAAGAUGGAAGGAAGAGAGAAGCACCUUAAUGAAAGAGAAUGAUGGCUUAAAGAAAGAGAGGGUGACCUGGGAGACAGAGAGAGAGAUGUGGGAGAGAGAGAAAAUAAUCUGGGAGAAAUUGACAGGGAACACAGAGAAAGAGCGUGGGAGCAAAAAGAGGAAAAAGUGAGAAAAAAAGCAUACUUGGUUUUAGAAAGAGAGCAGUGGCAGCAGGAGAAAGAAAUAUCCAUCCAUUCAUCCAUCCAUCUUCUACCGCUUACUCCUUUUCAGGGUCACGGGGAACCUGGAGCCUAUCCCAGGGAGCAUCGGGCACAAGGCGGGGUACACCCUGGACAGGGUGCCAGAGAAAGAAAUAUCAUGUAGUAUAAAUAAAAGAUCAUUUUCUCCUUGUUUAAUUAUAAAGUUUUAAUAAAGUUCUUC